CAAACUUGCCGGAAGAGAACUUCGGUGAGCGUCUCCUUAUUGACCCGCCAUUAUUCACCUUAUUUAGGGCCUUUUUAUUGCCCUUUUGUCUUUUUUAGUGACCCCUGGCACCCCCGGCACUCAAGCAUUGACCCCAGACAACCCUGUCACUCCAUUGCUGACCCAGGGAACCCUGGCACUCCAGCACUGACCCCAGACAACCCCAACACCCCAGUGCUAACUCCAGACAACCUUGGCGUUCCAGUGCUGACCCCAGACAACCCUGGCACUCCAGUGCUGACCCCAAAUAACCCUGGCACUCUAGCACUGACCCCAAACAACCCAGGCACUUCAGUGCUGACCCCAAACAACCCAGGAACUCCAGCACCAACCCCAGACAACCCUGGCACUGCGUGUGAACGACCCUUCCAAACAAGCAGUAACCCCAGUCUUGUCCAGAAUCCAGUUGACCCCAUGUUUAUCUUACAUCAUUUGCAGCCGCGACAAAUAAUUCCCAAUUUGACGAAAUUGUUGCCUGCAACAGAGUGAACGUGUUCUUUAUGUAAUGCGUUCCUGAGCACAACUUGAGUUGUGGCGUAAGGGAGGAGCACCGGGUGGUGCCAGGUGGCACCAGGUGGCACCAGGUGGCACUGAGCUGAUGCCAGGUGGUGCUGAAGCCUGAUUUAACUCUACAACACUCAUGUAUAUCUUCAGGUGUGGUAUUAAACUCCACCUGAUGACCCUGGGAAUGACCUGACCUGCCCUAACCCUUGCUGAACUUGACCUGACAACCGAGGAACGACCUGACCCAUCCUAACCCUUGUUGAACAUGACAUGACAACCUGGGAAUGACUUGACCUGCCCUAACCCUAAUUAAACCUGACCUGAUGACCUAGAAAUGACCCAACCUGUCCUAAUCUUAAUUAUACUUGACCUGACAUCCUAGAAACAACCUGACCUGUCCUAACCUCAGUUGAACUUGGCUUGACGACCUAGAAGCAACCUGACCUGUCCUAACCUUAAUUAUACUUGGUCUGAUGACCUAGAAAUGACCUGACCUGUCCUAACCCUAAACUUGACUUGAUGACCUAGAAACAAACUGACCUGCCCUAACCCUAGUUAGCUUGACCUGACAACUCAGGAAUGAUCUGACCUUCCCUAACUCAGGUCUGACCAAUCACGCCACUGCCGGAAGGUCAGCUGUCAUUGGUCGAGGUCGGUCAAGUCAUCCUGACCCUCGACCAACACCUUCAGUCUCACAAGUACUGAAGGUGUGUCUGCCACAAGACCAGCUGUGUGCAUCUGCCACAAUACCAUCUGUGUGCAUCUGCCACAAGACCAGCUGUGUGUGUCUGCCACAAGACCAGCUGUGUGCAUCUGCCACAAGACCGGCUGUGUGCAUCUGCCACAAGACCAGCUGUGUGCAUCUGCCACAAGACCAGCUGUGUGUGUCUGCCACAAGACCAGUUGUGUGCAUCUGCCACAAGACCACCUGUGCGCAUCUAUCACAAGACCAGCUGUGUACAUCUACCACAAGACCAGCUGUGUGCGUCUGCCACAAGACAAGCUGUGUGCAUCUGCCACAAGACCAGCUGUGUGUGUCAAUUGACAACAUUAAUACUUGUCAAAUGACGACUCGGAACAAAUCACAUGCA